CGGCGAUGGCGGCCCUCUCCACAUGGAUUCAGCAACAACGCUGGCCCUCCUUCUCCAUGAUGCAAGCCCCUGCCCAUGGAUGGGCUCAGUGGGCCUUAGAUGGGCUCGAUGGGCUCAUCCAGGGUUUUCUCUUUUUUAUUUUUUUGUUUGAUUAACCGUGGCGGCCGUGAAACCGCCUUGGAUAAUGAUUGAUUUAUCGCGACCUUUUAUCGGAGGUGUUUCUUUUGCCCGCCUUCUAAAAUCCAAAACGACCGCCUCUAUUAAGAUUAUUGUAGUAGUGUGGUUGGCAUACAAUUCCAUUUUCCUUGUCAUUUAUUUUCUGGAGAUUUCAUGACUCUGUUAACCAACAAUCACACAAGGAACGCUGAUGACAGUUACACAGUGUAUGUGCUCGAAUUGGAGACCACGGCAAGAUCACAAACGUGUC
rnacentral:lncRNA from 1 species